AGUGAACGCUGGCGGUAGGCCUAACACAUGCAAGUCGAACGGCAGCACAGUAAGAGCUUGCUCUUACGGGUGGCGAGUGGCGGACGGGUGAGGAAUACAUCGGAAUCUACUUUUUGUGGGGGGUUAAGGUGGGGAAACUUAGGUUAUAACGCCUAAGACCUUACGGGGAAAGCAGGGGGACUUUCGGCCCUGCCCGGAUGAAUGGACCGGUGGCGGACUAGCUAGUUGGCGGGGUAAAGGCCCACCAAGGCGACGAUCCGUAGCUGGUCUGAGAGGAUGAUCAGCCACACUGGAACUGAGACACGGUCCAGACUCCUACGGGAGGCAGCAGUGGGGAAUAUUGGACAAUGGGCGCAAGCCUGAUCCAGCCAUACCGCGUGGGUGAAGAAGGCCUUCGGGUUGUAAAGCCCUUUUGUUGGGAAAGAAAAGCAGCAGGUUAAUACCCCGCUGUUCUGACGGUACCCAAAGAAUGAGCACCGGCUAACUUCGUG
rnacentral:rRNA from 1 species